GCUAUCAAGCCAUGAAAGGCCAUGGAGGAACCUUAAAUGUAUGUCGCUAAAUGAAAGAAGCCAGUCUGAAAAAGCUGAGUACUGUAUGAUUCCAGCUAUAUGACAUUCUGGGAAAGGCGAAACUAUGGAGAGAGUUAAAAGAUCAGUGUUUGCCCAGGGUCCAGGGGAGGGAUAGAGGAAGAGCACAGGGGGCUUUUGUGGCAGCAGAACUAUUCUAUAUGAUAUAGUAAUGGUGGAUACAUGACAUUAUACGUUUGUCAAAAUCUGUAGACUCAUGCCAUGGAGUGAACCCUAAUGUAAAAAUCUAUGGAUUUUAGGUAAUAAUAAUAUCAGUUCAUCAGUUAUAACAAAUAUAACACUCUGAGAUAUAUUGUUAAUAGGGGAAAUUGUGCAAGAGUGGGGUGGAGGAAAGGUCCUGUGAGAACUCUCUGUACUUUCUGUGUAGUUUUUCUAUAAAGCUAAAACUGCUCUAAAAAUACUAAGUCUAUUUAAAAAAAAAAAAAGCCCUUUGGUAACCUAACUGAGGAGAAGUCACGAAGUUGAAAAAAACUGAGUCUCCUCAUGCCAAAAAAGUAGUGGGAUGGAGGGGAAUGGAUGUGGUCCCCUGAUCACUUGGCCCUGCAAUUUGUUGAACCAAGCAGCCACAGUGUUGUGCAGGCAUCGGUCAGCUGAGGAUGAGCAGGCUGGACAGCCUGAGAUACUAGAAAACAGAGCUGGCAUUGGUGACUGUCUGAAACUGGAGAGACCUCUCUGAGAUCUUAAACCUCAUCUCUUUUCACUGAAGUUCAAGCCACUGGUGGGCCUGCUGGAUCCGCUGCCAGCUGCUGUUGGCUGAUCAAUGUUUGUUUCAUGCUGUUUGAAAAUACAGUAUAGACUUCGCAAUUCCCAAUCCUCGCUGAAAUGCCCGGCUGGGAGUGGUGGGAGUGCACAGCCAGCAAUUAGAUGUUUCUUUUGUCACAUCCAGAAAGGACACCAGGGAAUGCCUUUAUUCCAGCCCUGUGACAUCUCCAGCAUCUGACUAGCAUCUCAGGGCAGUUUCCUAAGAAAGGGUCAGAAGAAUGCAGCGUCAGACAGAGCACAGUUAACCCCAGAAUUUUGCAUCACCACUGUUCCAUUGCCUGGUGAGGUGCUUAGAUUCUCUGGCAAACCUAUUUGAACAGGAGGGUUUUCACUUUCUGGAAAGGUACCCAGUCUGGUGGUGAUGAAACAGGUUUUCUCUCUGUACUCCCGGGUGAACCCUCUGCAGUCUGCCAUUUCUUGGAAUCCUCUUAACCAAUCUUAGAAUUAUCUCCCAGCAUCAGAUUUUGCUUAUUAAGGAAACCAGGCAUUGUGAAAUGCUCCUUUCUACACUAAUCUGAAAGACAUAAAUAGUGGCAGAGAAUGUUAGACAUAGAGCGGGAAAUUUCAGAGACUUUUGUUGGAAGAAUCAUCACUCUCCUGCAGGAACUGCAAAAAACACUUGAUCUCUGUUUACACAUGCCUGCAGACACACAGAGAGGCCCUAAUCAGCGGCUUGUGGACAGCCUUCUAUCAUAGCUACCCACUUUUCUCUAUGACCUUCCCUGUUCUUCCACUCCAUGUCUAUCCUGACUCUCAUUCACGCAUCACGGCUUGGACACUUGUGCUGCCUUUAUCAUUUGGGAAAACAUGGCGCAGCAAUGGCCUCAAGUUUGUCAGACGUCUCAAAUGCUCCACAGUCGUCGUCUCUGAAGCCAGACCCAAAUGUAGUUGUCUUGGUGAUUACUGGGCAUUGUCUAAUCCAGGAAAAAACACUCUUUUGUAGAAAUAUAAUAAGACAGUGUGGGUGGUGCUGGAUCUGCAGUUUUGUCAUUUUGAAAUUUAUUGGGUUGAUGCAAAAAUAAUCACAAUUUUUGCCACUAAAAGUAAUGGCAGAAAGUAAUUAAAAAUAGGCCAGGCGCGGUGGUUCACGCCUGUAAU
rnacentral:lncRNA from 1 species